GACUCGGACCCAUGCAGCUUCGACGCCCAAAUCUUGUCAGGACCGGAAGGUAGCAGCAAUACGGGAUGCUCGACGCAGGCGUGGACUCCGGGUCUUU
rnacentral:SRP_RNA from 2 species